AUAUCUCUCUGUACGGAAAGGAUGAGAAGCUUCGACUAAGGUUCGAUUCGAGCGAAAGCGAGAAAGCGUUGCCGCAGGCAACGACCCGAAGGGCGAAGCGCGCAGCGCUGAGUAAUCCUUCCCCCACCACCA
rnacentral:sRNA from 1 species